GGAGCGCUAGCUUCGGUGGAGGCGCUGGUGGGAUACCGCCCUGACUGUAUUGAAAUUCUAACCUACGGGUCUUAUCGACCCGGGAGACAGUGUCAGGUGGGCAGUUUGACUGGGGCGGUCGCCUCCUAAAGUGUAACGGAGGCGCCCAAAGGUUCCCUCAGAAUGGUUGGAAAUCAUUCGUAGAGUGCAAAGGCAUAAGGGAGCUUGACUGCGAGACCUACAAGUCGAGCAGGGACGAAAGUCGGGCUUAGUGAUCCGGUGGUUCCGCAUGGAAGGGCCAUCGCUCAACGGAUAAAAGCUACCCCGGGGAUAACAGGCUUAUCUCCCCCAAGAGUCCACAUCGACGGGGAGGUUUGGCACCUCGAUGUCGGCUCAUCGCAUCCUGGGGCUGUAGUCGGUCCCAAGGGUUGGGCUGUUCGCCCAUUAAAGCGGUACGCGAGCUGGGUUCAGAACGUCGUGAGACAGUUCGGUCCCUAUCCGUCGUGGGCGCAGGAAAUUUGAGAGGAGCUGUCCUUAGUACGAGAGGACCGGGAUGGACGCACCGCUGGUGUACCAGUUGUUCUGCCAAGGGCAUAGCUGGGUAGCUAUGUGCGGAAGGGAUAAGUGCUGAAAGCAUCUAAGCAUGAAGCCCCC
rnacentral:rRNA from 1 species